ensembl:lncRNA
GCAACUGGCGCUGGGUAGGCAAAGCCGGGAGAAACUGCUGAGACGAGUGGUGCGUGUUUUAAGACCAUGGUUAUGUUCCUGCCGAGAAGGAUCCGACUCUGAGGCAUUGUCAUUGAGGAUGUGGCAGACACGAGGGGUGGGGAGCUCAAGGCCAUUGCUUCGGAGCGAUGAGAGUUGGCGCUGCAGAGAGCAGGAACCAAAAUCUGAAGCCCCAGUGGUCCCCAGAUACACUGAGGUUCACGGCCAAACACGGGCCCAGAGCCCUGACCAGAACCACUGAUGGUGUGACUGGUGGGACCAGAGGGGACCCAAGGCAAACCAGCCCCCUCAGCCGGAAGAGGAGCUCAGAGAGGCCGGCCAUCUUGUCUUCGUAUAGGACACCAUCGGCCACACUCUGAAUAUCCGGCUGGAAGUGUUUUUGUUUUUAUAUUAGAUGCAACGAUCUAAUGUGCAGUAGGAGCCUACUCCUGUCGCAGUUCAGCUGUAUUUCUCAAAGAAGCUAUGAUGUCAGAGUUCUACCAAGACUCCAGAGGAACAGCCUCCUUGCCCAGAGGGGUCUGCUUGGCUAUGCCAAGGUAUACUAAGAGAUGAAAGCCCACAAUCUGCCAUUACUUGACAGACUGGUUUUCCUGGGGUUAUAUAGCCUGGGGUCAAUAUUCCAAGGAACAUACUUUGGGAACAGCCUCAUAACUAAAGGUCUCUCUGUUUCCGUAUCAGUUACCUACUGCUGUGUAACAAAUCACUCCUAACUUAGCGCUUCAGAACAAUAGGUAUUUAUUAUCUCAAAGGGUCUGUGGCUCAGGAAUUCAGAAGUGCCGUAACUGGGCGGGAGGAGAAGGGGGUGACAGAGGAUGAAAUGGUUGGAUGGCAUCACCAAUUCAAUGGACAUGAUUUGAGCAAACUCUGGGAGAUAGUGAAGGGCAGGGGAAGCCUGCCGUGCUGCAGUCCAUGGGUUUGCAAAGAGUCAGACAUGACUCAGCAACUGCACAACAACGUAACUGGCUGGUCCCAGUUUGUGGUCUCCACUGAAGUUGCAGUCCAAACAUCAGCUGGGGCUGCUCUCAUCUGACUGGGGCUGCGGGAUUGGCUUCCGGCUUCCAAGAUGGAGUGCUCACUGGCUGGCUGUUGGCAGGAGGCCUUGGUUUCUUGCCCCAUGGAGUCCUCCACAGAGCUGCUUGAGUUUCCUCAGUAUAUGGCUUCCCCUAGAUGGAUGCCAGCGAGACUGAAACCCUGGUGCCUUGGAAUGCACGUGUGGUCCUUUCCACACUGUCCUCUUGGCCCCGCGGGGGCAGCCCUCUUCAUUGUGGGAAGGGCUGAAGAGGGUGGAAAUCGUCUGGAGACCAUCUUGCAGGCCGACUGCCACGGUAACCAUCUCUCCAGCGCAAGGACAGAUAACUUGCCUCAUUCUCACAACUGGCUUCUUACCAUUUAGUGCCAAUUAGUAACUUUGAGAAGUGACCCUGUAACCUGUGAUGUGAAGGAGGAAAAGAUUAGGAAUUAUCAGCUAUACCAACCCCCAUGAACAGCAGCAAUAACAAUCAUCCAGGCCUGUUUGUUGAGCCUUCACCCCAUGCCUGCUGCCUCAACAGCAUCAUGGCAGUGUGCAAUCCAUGUCCCCAAGGAGCCGGUUCCACAAUAUUUCCAAGUCAGGCCACUCAUUUUUAUGAAAUGUAUAAAGUGAGGUUUUUUUUGUUUUGGCAAUGAUGGCUACAAGGACACAAGUAGCUUUGCCUCCUGGAGACACAGAGAAAAAUUCCAUGACCCGUGUGAACCCGUGUCGGGGAAGACUGAAAUGGGGUGUAAACUCAGGAUGGAUAAAUGCCAAAAAUACAGUAAAUAGGUGAGAUGAAAUAUUUAUUUUGUGUACAUUAGCAAUAUGAGGGGGACGGUCCAGUGGUUAAGACUUGACCUGCCAAUGCAGGGGACACGAAUUGGAUCCCUGGUCUGGGAAGAUCUCACAUGCUGCAGAGCAACUAAGCCCCAUGCACCGCAACUGCUGAGUCCACAUGCUGCAGCUAAGGUAUGAAGCCCGCAUCCCUUAGAGCCUGUGCUGUGCAAUAAGGGAAGCCACCGCAAGGAGAAGCCCGCACGCCAUGACAGAGUAGCCCAUUCUCGCCGCAGUGAAGACCACGCAGCAGUGACGAUCCAGCGCGGCCACAAAUAAAGGAAGAUAACAGGUAAAAUUUCUAAAAUACAGACAAAGAACACGAGGAGUCACGGUGAGCCGAGGGUUCUUUGGUUUUGCCCCAGUCUCAUGCUGGGAAAAAGGGUCACAUCUCUGGUGGUGGCCUAGUGGUGAGGAGCAGGCACCUGGUUGCUCGAGUCACCAUGUCUGUUACUAACUCUGUGACCAGGCAAGUGACCUCACAGCCCUGUCUCCCGUCUGUGAAAUGGGGUGAAAAUGGCCAACUCCUCCUGUUAUGAUGAGGCUUCAGAAGGUUCUGGUAUGCUUUAUCCUGGCAAAGCUGAUGGUGGAUCACCAAGGUGGUGGCACCCUAGGUUCAAAGAACCUUCGUAGAAGUGCCAUUGCCUGGAAAGAUCUUUGCCCUGUGAGCGAGCGUGGACCCAGAGCCACAGAGCAGAUAGUCGCUGCUGCUGGGGACCCCCUAUGGGCGACCCCGGGGGCUGGAAGGAGCUCAGCCCUUGCUUCUGCUGGGGGCAUGUGUGGGCAUGGAGCUGGCCCGGCCCUUUCCUGUCCUGUCCCAGCAUGAUUUCAACAGAGGGAGUGUCCCGGGCGUGUUUUCCCCUCGGAAGUCUCACCCUGCUGAGGUGGGAUUUGGGGAGCCCUGGCUCAAUUUGCUGCCCCAACCAACAGGCCAGGCUUAGAGAUGCUCAGAAACCAGAGUGGGGAUGCAAGUUCCUGACCUGCAGCCUGGGCCUGGCCUGAUGGAAGGUGUUUGGCUCAGGUUGGCUUGACAGCCCUUGACUCCAUCCUUCAGGGCUGUGUGACUCCAGACAAGUGUCUCCGCCUCCCGGGCCCUCAGUUUCCCCAUCCCUAAAGUCUCAGACUGCGCCUGCCUGCCCACCCUAGGAACCUGGGGUUGCCCAGGAGGACACAGAGCUUAUGUAGGUGUUCACGGCGAAGUCCCAGACCACCCGCUUCCUCUCCAAUCAAGAGAGCUCCAUUUCCAUCUCUGGUAUAUUGACGAUCUAAGUAGCACUUCAAUUUUAAAAAGAAGAAAAAAGAAAAGGAAACUCAGCUACAGCAAAACCAAUACAGAAGUUUCCCACCAACUUACUCUGUCCCCUGACUCAUGCCUUCAAGCUCUACAGGAGUAGAGCAGUCCAUCAGCUAGGUUUGGUGACCGCUCCCUUCCAAACAGUUCCUAGUCUCCUGGAUUUGAAUCUCUGUUUCUUUCAGCCUCUGUGAGGUCCCAUGAAGGGUGGGGAGAGGAAGGGGCUUUAGUUGGUAGGGGGCGGUCCACAGAGAUCUUGAGGUGCCAAGGUCAUGGACAGGCUGGGUGUGCUGGCCUCCUCUCUGGACACAUGCUGUGGGCAUCUCAGAUCCGUGCCCCCUCGGCCCCCCUGUGCCCAAGCAUCCCCAGCUUGGGCCCAAGGCCCAGCUGCAUUUGGGCCCCCAGUAGAAGCCAGGGCCAGCCCUUGCUGCCUCUGAAGCGAGGAGUCUGUGGGCCUGGGUGGUCUCUUAGCCCCUCCCAACUUCAACACAAAUUGCUGCAUUUAUGAAGCUCCAGCUGUCUGCAGAGCGGGGUCUGGCAUGGGGGAGGGGUGGAUGCUGUCCUAGGAGGAGGAGCCCCCUCAGCUGGCUGCCUCCGGCUGGACUGGGUAUGGCAGGGCUCAGAGUGGCCCCUGGGCCCCAGGAGGCCCAGGUGUCAGGCCCAGCUGCCAGGCUGCCAUUUGAAACGUCUCCUGUUGGUGGCACUUUGGUAAGUUGCAG